CAAAAGGGAACAUGGAAGCUAAGAUCAGUUCUGUUAAGGGAUUCAUCUGAGUAUUUAUCUUUCUUUUAUUUUGAAUGGUUUGUGGGAAGAAAAGGAGGACUAAUGGGACAGAAGGCAGAGUUAGAGAACCCAGUGAAAACUUGUUUUUAAGAUUAAAGCCAUUUUCCCAGACUAUUGUCUUGCCACAAGUGACAACACACAGAGCAGAAGUCAUGAAAGUGGAUUACUGUCACUCUAAGCUAUUGGAGGCCCAGAGUACCCUAGCAUUAAUUCCUAAAGAAAGGUAGAGAAACCUAGCCCUCUUCCCUGUGUUUGCCUUGCAGCACUCUCAUUGCUUAAAUGUUCAGGGCUCAAAGUUGAUACAGACCUCAGCUGGGUCUAGGUGGCAGGGCUUCCCCUUUGAGGGGAAGCAGAUGUUCUCUGUGGAACUGAGGGGGGAAGCCAGGUGGCUAAAAGAAGAAGCCUGAGGGGAUGGGACACUGUAGCAGGAGAGCUGUGGCCACCAGUCCCCUGGCAGGAUAGCAAUCAAUGAGUCAAAGUUAACAGUGAAUGCAAGAGAACCAGGAGUAGGACCUCUUGGGUGCAAGAGACUAACCUUGUAACUUGUUCCACUCCUCCCCCUGGGCUUCCAUCUUAGGUUUUCUGGGAUUGGAACCUAAGCAGAGAAGGGGAGUGUGGUAAGGAAACAUGCCUAACCUCAGUCCAACAUGCAUACAUGAGUGGAGCUUGCAGAGAUCAGGAGACACAUCCCAAGUCCUCAGUGAUCUGUGUAUCUGGCUUGUGCAUUUAUGCAUGGCCAACAGGGGCGGGGAGGAAAGCCUGGUUUUCUCCAGUCACUCUCUCUGGGGUUGGUGUGUUUCCUCUCCCCCUAACCCUCCACCUCACCCCUUCAAGACCAAAAAGAAUUGAAACUCCAUUGCCUUUGCCUGCUCUGAGCCUAAAAACUCAGGAUUUGAUAAGGGGAUUGCAGUGGCAAAGCUAGGCUAGGUCUUGGAGGCUGGUGUAAGGCGAAGCGGGUGAAGGCAGGAGGCUGAUGGAGAGACUGAGGGGAAUAAAAGCCGAAAUGGAUUCACGGUGCCUUGGAUGGAGGACGAGAGGGGAAUUGCAAGCUCCUUCAACUCGUUCUGUCCGGUGAGAAGUGAUCAAGCUUGGGCUGACAAGAGGCUCAGGGAGCCCUCACGUUCUUUCGCUUUUUUACCUGCCAAUCAAACUGCUACAAGACAACACCCUGAUCUGGCAUGGACAUGUAAGUAGCUUGCAACCCAACUUUGACAUUCACUGCUAGCUCACUCCUCUCCGCCCACCCCCCAACUCACUUUCUUCCCCUCUCAUUCUAUUUUUUUUCUUUUGACCUUUAAGAGAUCUGGAAAUACAUCCUGUGUAGCAGUCAUUUAACACAGACAGAUUUAAGUCUGAAAGCGUUAACUUUUGGAAUUAAACACUAAUUUUGAUUUCUUUAACAAACGCAGAAAUGAAAUGACAUUAUUUUAUUCUCUUCUGAACAGUUUUAGGGCUGAGCAUAAUCAGUUGCCUUGCAGUGGUGUGUGUGUUUCCUUUUCUAUUAAAAAAUUUUUUUAAAUCCGUGAGCCCCCAGAGAGAAAUGCAAAAAUGAAAAAUUCAGGCUUCCAUUUCAAAAAUAUUAAAUUCUAGCAUUUCAUCCCUGCAAAGAACCUUCUCCAUACCAAGGUUACAUGGAGUAGAGUGAGUUGAGUCAAAAGGUACAUGUUAAGGGGUUGCUACUGUUUCAUCUUGCAUCUUACUAUUUUGGUGGUGAUUGAGGGAAGGGAUGUGAAAAAAGAGAAGGAAAGGGACAUGGCGACAUUUUGUUCUUUAUAAGAGAUUGAUAUUGAGGGGGCCAGAAAGGCAAGAGGACAGGAUAAGCAGGAAAUAUUACCUGAGAGAAGGAAUUACAGAGCAUGGCGAUGCUGGAAGCUAGGAAGGCUUCUGCGGGAAGUUGUGCGAGGGGGAGAUAGGGGAUUGCUCUCUGGCGCCCUCUAAUGGCAAUUUGAACCCAUAUUUUUACUUUCUCAAUUCAGUACUGGGAAAAGCAGCUGGGUUUUUGUUGUUGCUUUUGGUUUUUUCCUCCACAGACUUAGAAACUAGAGACUAUUAGCGGAGUAAAUUGAUUGUUUUCAACCCCGAAACUUAUGUAUAUGCCUUAAAAUUAUCAAUGGUUUUUCUUCAAACAUUCCUGUUCUCCUGAAAUUCGUUAGAGUAAUAGAAGUAAGGC
rnacentral:lncRNA from 9 species